rnacentral:lncRNA from 1 species
CAGCAGUGUGUUGUGAGCAAUAUCAUCAUAUUUUGCCAAACGCAGUUCUACUGUCAGUAAGUCCGUAACAUCUGCUACCCCCAGGUGGAAGCCAGUGAUGCUUGGAGGAGAAAUCUCCUGAGGCUUCUCUUGUACGAGGUUUGGGAGGGCCGCGCGCCCCCGGACCGCCUGGUCAGCCCUUCUGCUUUGUGAGGCUACAAGCACUCGUGCGGUACCUGAGGUGAUCAGGUCUUACGUGUGAACCUGCCAGCAGUUGCAUCGGCACACUGAGGAAACAGCAAACUGUGGUUCGGUAGCCGGAAUAAGCAGCCAGGGAUAGAAACAUCUCAAACCAAUGUCACAGCAGAGAGGUCCCAGCGAAGACUUGCUGCAAGCCUGAGGAAAGGUGAGGAGCGACGCUGCAGAGGAGGUCUGCCACUCCGCUCUGUGCGGGAUGAACACCUGGCCCCGAACGGUGUCCCAGAGCGGAGGCAGCCAGCACGGUUUGCCUCAGGGUGCUUUUCCCCAGUCCCGUGGCAAUCAAAAGCUAGUCUUCAGAUUUGCCCUAGGCAAACUUGUCCGCUAAACUUGCUCUCAGUUUUGAUUUCAGAUUAUGGAGUAUUUUCAUUGAAAUUAUUAAGUUAGUUUAAUAGCAUUUAAUGUCAUAUAGUUACUCGAUUUUUCAGUGACUUGAUAUUUAGGCUUUUAUUCACUUUGUAAUCUGAAGAAAGAUGAAUGCUUUAAUGUGCACCAGUUAAAGCCAGAGAUAAUGUACUGUAAUGAAAAGUGUUUGUACUUGAUGUAACCUCAUUCCUGUGUUAGAUCAUUACACUUAAUUUUCAGAUUGCGAAGUGAAUGACCUC